rnacentral:lncRNA from 1 species
UGGCAGCUGCUUCCUGCAGUCGCUGUCCCCAAUAACUUUGGGCUCUCUGCCUUCCACUCUUCAAUACCCAAGGAACACUUCUUUGUAUUCAGUUCUCUGUUAGAGCCUCUGGUGUGAUGUUUGGGCCCUGACUGGACUGGCUCUCCUCUCCGGUCUCCUCCUCUGUCACUCUGUCCUGGUGUCUGGUAGUUUUGAGAGAGGGUGGGAUGUGAUGUCAGCAGAUUGGACUGCACUUGCAAAAGCUGUCCCACAGUGACCAAUGAAAUACUGCUUCAGGACAUCUGAGAUCAAGGCCAAGUAGGAGUCCCAGCCAGGCCUGGUCUGGGUCCAGGGUCAGCAGCUGGGGUCAGUGGUCACUUAGUGGCUGGGUGUAGGACCCAGGCUGUGGUGGGGUCAGGGUAUGUCAUGGGUCACUUGUGGUCAGGUCCAAGACUGAAGCCUGGCUGGCAUUGGGUGUUGAGUGUUGGAGUUGAUUCUAGGGCCAGGCUGCAGCUUCCCCACUGAGGGAGACUGGCUUUCCUUAACAAACUACACCUCUGUGCCUGGCCAGGCCUACAAGCCCCCUUUCCUAAUCCUGGCCCUCUAUCCUUAAGCCCUGCCCCACAGUCUGUCUCCAUCAGGCCUGAGAAGGACCAGUCAGUGUUCCUAGAGGGUCUGUUCAUCCAAGCUGAGGCCCCUGCAUCCUGUCUGCUGAGGUUCCCAGCUCAAAGGCAGUGACCCAGACCCAUGAUUCUCAAAACGUGCUUUUCCUAGUACAAGAGAUGCCAGUAUCUCCCAGGAACUUGUCCCAGGGGAGAGUGCAAAUGCAGUUCCCCAUUACCACAAAUUAUGAAGUCGAGUUUCCCACCUUUGGGGAAAUUGCAGGGAUCAGCACAUCCAGAGUACAAUGGAGAAGACUCGCCCUGGGAAAACCACCUUUGUGAUCAUGGUCUCUCCCCUGAUGGAAUACAAUUGGAAAAACUGGUUAUUUUCCCAAGGCUUUGACUGGAAUGGUGUGCUCUCCUCUAAGGAAUCAAACUUAAGAAGCCAAUGAAACCCUUGGAAAACUGGCCUCAUAUUUUGUGUGCACAGUCCCUGUACAGGGUUUCUGAUGUGUGUUUAAAUUAUAUCCGUUACAGAAAUCAACUCCUGGAUACAUCAUAUUCAAGUCAAAGCCUAAAGAGCUGAGAAAGCAACCCCUAACAGUCCAAAAAAAGUCCUAUUCAUGUAAAAAAAUAAAUAAGAAAUCUUAAGCUAAAAAUCAUAAAAGUUAAGUAACUAAGUAAAAAUUGCUCAUCUUACUCAGUCUCAACCCCACCUCACCAAAUACUUUUUGUCGUUUCUACUUCUCCUUUUAAGCCAACUAUUAAAACCUUUUUUAAUGAAAAUUAUUUACUAUGACACCCUCGCGGGAACUGCUGUACUCACUCUACUAUUUGCAGUAGGACUGUGAACCCUCAGAGUGGAAUAUCUGACAGAGAAUCUCAAUUACUGUAGCAUUUUGCUUAAUUAUUAUCCUCAUAGCAGGAAUAACAGUUACUAACAAAAAAUAACACAUGGGUCUUUCCAAACAUGCACCUCUGCCUGUCAUUAAAAAAAAAAAAAAAAAAAGUUACUUCUGUCUCAACCAGUCGG